rnacentral:tRNA from 1 species
GCGCUCGGGCAUUCCAAUAUGGCUGAUUACAUACUACGAAUCUGGGGGUCAGAGGUUCGAAUCCUUUCGGGCGCGCCA